rnacentral:rRNA from 1 species
UGGGGAAUCUUGCACAAUGGGCGAAAGCCUGAUGCAGCGACGCCGCGUGAGCGAUGAAGCCCUUCGGGGUGUAAAGCUCUUUCGACGGGAACGAUAAUGACGGUACCCGGAGAAGAAGCUGCGGCUAACUACGUGCCAGCAGCCGCGGUAAUACGUAGGCAGCGAGCGUUGUUCGGAAUUACUGGGCGUAAAGAGUGUGUAGGCGGUGUUCCCAGUCUGUUGUGAAAUCUCCCGGCUUAACUGGGAGGGUGCAGCGGAAACUAGAAUGCUAGAGGGUGGGAGAGGUAAGCGGAAUUCCUGGUGUAGCGGUGAAAUGCGUAGAUAUCAGGAGGAACACCUGUGGUGUAGACAGCUUACUAGACCACUUCUGACGCUGAGACACGAAAGCGUGGGUAGCAAACAGGAUUAGAUACCCUGGUAGUCCACGCCCUAAACGAUGCAUACUUGGUGUGAGCGAUUCAUUUCGUUCGUGCCGGAGCUAACGCGUUAAGUAUGCCGCCUGGGGAGUACGGUCGCAAGGCUG